rnacentral:sRNA from 1 species
CGGCUCGCUAUGCCCGAUGCAUACGGGCUA